AGUGUUCCCUGCCCUCACGGGUAGAAACGCCCACCCUUGUAUAAUAUAUCUUGUUGCUUUGGCAGGCCGCCCUCGGGCCCUGGCUCCGGCUAGGUCGCGCCUGCCAGAGGACCCCAAACUCUGAAUGUUAGUGUCGUCUGAGUACUAUAUAAUAGUUA
rnacentral:misc_RNA from 1 species